AGCUCAACUCCUCGUAGCCUCAUUAUUACUGGUUAUUUGAAAUUUGAAUUGUUUCGGUUUCGUCUUGUGACUCCAAUGUCCACUCUUCAGAAUGACGAUUCAAACUAGGAACCAUAUCGAUUUACCGUUAAAUUAAUGGAUCAAACCACCAAUCUGGCCAGAGCCUUCCUCAAGAAUGCUCACAAUCCAUUCCUCUCAUGGAACCUAUUCAAACAAUUUCUCUUAUCUCCUCCUCCUUCGACUUCAUCUAUUCCUCAGUUCAUUCCCGCCAUUGCACGCACUCUUGCUGGCGCGAAAAUGAUCCCGGAAAUCGAUCAACUUCAUAGGCUUCUCCUCGUUCUGCCCCCUGAAAUAGCCCGCCUUUCUCUUGUCUCCCUCGCGCAAGAGCUUGUAAAAUGUGGUCUCCUUGACAAGGCUUUCUCUGAAUUUCAAUUCCUUCGAAGACAUUUCCCGGUUAAAGCUCCACCAGUUCGCCUCUACAACGUGUUGCUCGAAUCCUCUCUUCGUCAAAAUCGGCUCGAAUGUGUCUCUGCGUUGUACAAGGACAUGCUAGUCGCUGGGACUAGACCGGAAACUUACACUUUCAACCUUUUGAUAUCUUCCCUUUGUGAUUCUGGUCGUGUAAAAGAAGCCCAAAAGGUGUUCGAUAAAAUGCGUGACAAAGGAUGUGAACCGAAUGAGUUCAGUUUUGGGAUUUUGGUUCGUGGGUAUUGCAGAGCUGGACUUAGUCUCCGUGGUUUGGAGCUCUUGAAUGCGAUGCCAAGUUAUGGUUGUGCUCCUAAUAGAGUGAUUUACAACACUCUAGUCUCUAGUUUCUGUAGGGAGGGUAAGGUUGAUGAAGCUGAGAAAUUGGUAGAGAAGAUGAGAGAGGACGGUCUCUUUCCCAACGUUGUUACUUUUAAUGCCAGGAUUUCAGCGCUUUGUGAUGCAGGGAAGAUCAUAGAAGCUUCUAGAAUUUUCAGAGAUAUGCAGACAGAUGACGCUUUGGGUUUGCCUAGGCCUAAUCUAAUUACCUUCAAUUUAAUGCUACAAGGGUUCUACAAGGAAGGAAUGAUUGAGGAGGCUGAAGUCCUGAUUGAAUCUAUGAAAAGAGAUGGUGUCUUUACGAAAGUGGAGAGUUACAAUAUAUGGUUGUUAGGUCUAGUGAGAAAUGGGAAGCUGUUAGAGUCACAGUUAGUGUUUAAAGAGAUGUUAGUGAAGGGCAUAACCCCAAAUAUUUACUCAUACAAUAUCAUGAUUGAUGGGCUAUGCAAGAACGGGAUGAUGUUAGAUGCUAGAAUGGUUAUGGGUUUGAUGAUAAGAAAUGAGAUUUUACCAGAUACAGUAACUUAUAGUACUUUGCUUAACGGAUAUUGCAGUAAAGGUAAGGUCUCUGAAGCCAAUAAUAUACUCCAUGAGAUGAUGAGGAAUGGGUGUUAUCCAAACACUUGUACUUGCAAUAUCUUGUUGCAGAGUUUAUGGAAAGAAGGGAGGAUCACAGAAGCAGAGAAAUUGCUGCAGAAAAUGAAUGAGAAAGGAUACGAAUUAGAUAUUGUGACCUGUAAUAUUGUGAUUGAUGGUCUCUGCAAGAAUGGGAGAUUGGAUAAGGCAAUUGAAAUUGCUAGUGGGAUGUGGAUGCAUGGAAGUGCCGCCCUUGGUGAUCUAGGGAACUCAUUUCUUGGUCUUGUAGAUGAUACCGAUAGCAAGAGAUGCGUCCCUGAUUUGAUCACGUACUCAAUGAUAAUUGAUGGGUUAUGCAAGGCUGGGAGACUAGAUGAAGCUAAAAGGAAAUUCAUGGAGAUGAUGGGGAAAAACAUGGAUCCCGAUCCAGUUAUCUACAAUACUUUUAUACAUGGUUUUUGUCAGCACGGUAAGCUAUCAUCGGCAUUUCGGGUUCUUCAAGACAUGGAAAAAAAAGGUUGCAAUUUGAGUAUUCGAACUUACAAUUCACUGAUAUGGGCCCUUGGGAGUAAACAACAAAUAGAUGAGAUCUACAGACUGAUGAAAGAGAUGAGAGAACGAGGGGUUUCCCCCAAUGUCUUCACUUAUAAUAACCUGAUUAGUUCUCUUUGUGAAGGAGGGCGGACAAAGGAUGCUACUACUCUAUUGGAUAAAAUGUUGCGGGAGGGUAUCUUCCCUAAUAUUUCUUCAUUCAGGUUGUUGAUCAAAUCGUUUUGCAAGGUCUGUGACUUUGGGGCAGCACAAGAGGUGUUUGAAAUUGCUUUAAGCAUAUGUGGCCAUAAUGGAGCACUAUAUAGUUUAUUGUUUAAUGAAUUUCUUGUUGGAGGGAAAAUUUCAGAAGCUAAGGAACUAUUUGAUGCUUCAAUAGAUAAAGGUUUUGAUGUGGGAGCUUUCUCAUACAAAGAUCUGGUUGAGGCACUCUGCAAGGAAGAGAAGUUGGAGGAAGCUUGCAGCAUUCUUCACAAGAUGGUUGAUAAAGAAUGUGGGUUUGAUCCUGCAUCAUUUAUGCCAGUGAUUGAUGCAUUGGGUAAAGGUGGAAACAAACAUGAAGCUGAUGCACUUGCCGAGAGGAUGAUGGAGUUGGCUACAGAAGGAAGAGUAGCAAACAAGGUUUAUAGAAAAGGAUUUAAUGAGAAGGUAGUGAACCAUCAGAAACCAAAAGAAGGCGGGUUUUCUGGAAGUGAUUGGCAUUCUAUGUUACACAGAGAUGAUGGGAGUGGGAUAGCAUUGAAAGUUCUUAAAAGGGUACAAAAGGGCUGGGGUCAAGGAAGUAUAUCAAGUUUGCAAUCCCAGAAAAAUGAUUUGCCCGACUACUGGGAAGAUACUGGGUAACCAUUUCUCUGGAAUAAAUGGUCAAGUUUGGCGUGGAGGUUCACAGUUUCGUAUUAACUGGAAGCAAAGUUUUGAACCUUGUGUAGGAUAGAACCUUCUCUUGGGGCCAUAAGCGGUUGAAGUACCUGCUUUGAUCCAUGAAAUGCAGUGUUAUGGAGAGGACAAGUCAUAACCAAUGGCUGCCUUUGCUCACCUCUGGUUAGAUGUUUGAGUAGCAAAUGCAAAACGAGGUCCAAUCUGGUGGAUUUUACAAGAGGACGGUUUCGCUGCUUACUUGGCCUGACUCAUGAUUCUCCUAGACUGUUGUUCUCGAUUACCUUUAAGAGAUGAGUUGGGACAAAGGCAUCUAAAGGAAAAAUAGAAGUAGUUGAGCUAUGUUGCUGGUAAAGUAUUUUAAUGAUAGUGCCGCUAGUUCUCAACUGAUCUUCAUAGAUUUUUCACUGGUGCACUCAAAUUAUUUGGAGCAUUAUGCUAUAUUCAAAUGGAACAGUCAAUCAUAUUCCUAAAGGAAGCCUUUUGCAAAUUUGAUGACGUACUUGAGCAUGUUUAUUAAUUCUGUCUUGAUGUUCUUGGGUGCCAGCUUAAUAUCUUCCACUGUGAGUCCAUCAACUUGACUUCCAGUUUCAAUGAAUUCUCCUUUGCCUUCCCUGGUUUAUAUUGUACGAGUGUAGAAUGGGAGUGGCACUGUGGCAGAUGAGAUAAAGAUAGCUUACUCAGCAAAGAAAUAAGAAUGAAAAAGGAUGCAUGUUAUCUCCCAGACCGCAUUUUAUUUUAUUUUAUGUUGGUGUACGGAUGCACAUUUUGUGUGUUAUCUACAACUUACUGUAAAGAAAGAGUGUGCCCGUUCUCACAUGGGGGGAUUCAGGGUGUGCUAAUGCACCAAAAAGCACACUGCAUGUGCUAAGGAUAAAGGAGGAGAAAAGAGAAUAAUCUCCUAUCUUGCCUCAAGCGGAUCAACGCCUAGUACCUGAUAGAUCAUCUAUACAAGUCAACAGUUCGAAGUCAUAUCAGUCAUAUAGUUUUCUGCGUUCAUUUGGCAGUGUGGAAAAAGGCACCAAAGAAUGCUUGAACAAGCUUCAAGCCUUGAAAUAAUGUGUUGAAAAUUGUCUGUAAGAAAAGUAAGAUCGUUGUUGAGGUCAUAGGAUACAUAAAUGGUGACCUUUCAAUUUUUCAUAGAUUUCCUAAUGUAUAUGAGCACUAGAAACAGAGUGGCGAUGGGGAAGAGACCAGGUCAGCCACAUGGUUGCCCCAUUGUGGACCUAAGCUGGUUGAAUGCAAACAUAGAAGGAACUUCCCUUUCA